GUCUAUAAAUCCAAAAAAGACGCGCAGACCCUUAGAAUUUAAAUAAAACCGAAUAGUUUUUCGUAAUAUUUUUGUUGGGGCGACAAGAAGACAAUUAACUUUAACUCUUCUGAUAAUAUAAGACGAUUAGUAAUAAGGUCGGAUAAAUUACCUGAGGGAUAACAGCAUAAUUUUAUGAUUAAGUUUGUGACCUCGAUGUUGGACUAGGAAAUUAAUAGACUAGCCGUUUAUUAUAUUGGUUCUGUUCGAACUGUUUUUCCUACAUGAUCUGAGUUCAAACCGGA
rnacentral:rRNA from 1 species